rnacentral:siRNA from 1 species
UAUCCUACCCUACUUGCUCAUA